UACGUAGGGGGCGAGCGUUACCCGGAAUCACUGGGCGUAAAGGGAGCGUAGGUGGCCUGACAUGUCGACUGUGAAAACCCGGAGCUCAACUCCGGACUUGCAGUUGAAACUGCCAGGCUUGAGGACGGUAGAGGAAGACGGAACUGCCAGUGUAGGGGUAAAAUCCUUAGAUAUUGGCAGGAACGCCGGUGACGAAGGUGGUUUUCUGGGCCGGUUCUGACACUGAUGCUCGAAAGCCAGGGGAGCGAACGGGAUUAGAUACCCUGGUAGUCCCUGAGCGGGCU
rnacentral:rRNA from 1 species